ACGGGGCCCGCACAAGCGGUGGAGCAUGUGGUUUAAUUCGAUGCAACGCGAAGAACCUUUACCAGGUCUUGACAUCCCACGAAUUCAUCUGAAAGGAUGGAGUGCCUUCGGGAGCGUGGAGACAGGUGGUGCAUGGUUGUCGUCAGCUCGUGUCGUGAGAUGUUGGGUUAAGCCCCGCAACGAGCGCAACCCCUAUUGUUAGUUGCCAUCAUUCAGUUGGGCACUCUAGCGAGACUGCCGGUAAUAAACCGGAGGAAGGUGGGAUGACGUCAAAUCAUCAUGCCCCUUAUGACCUGGGCUACACACGUGCUACAAUGGUUGGUACAACGAGUUGCGAGUCGGUGACGGCGAGCUAAUCUCUUAAAGCCAAUCUCAGUUCGGAUUGUAGGCUGCAACUCGCCUACAUGAAGUCGGAAUCGCUAGUAAUCGCGGAUCAGCACGCCGCGGUGAAUACGUUCCCGGGCCUU
rnacentral:rRNA from 1 species